rnacentral:rRNA from 1 species
UACGAAGGGGGCUAGCGUUGUUCGGAAUUACUGGGCGUAAAGCGCACGUAGGCGGAUGUUUAAGUUAGGGGUGAAAGCCCAGGGCUCAACCCUGGAAUUGCCUCUAAUACUGGACAUCUUGAGGCCGAGAGAGGUGAGUGGAACUCCGAGUGUAGAGGUGAAAUUCGUAGAUAUUCGGAAGAACACCAGUGGCGAAGGCGGCUCACUGGCUCGGUACUGACGCUGAGGUGCGAAAGCGUGGGGAGCAAACAGG